UACGUAGGGGGCGAGCGUUGUCCGAAGUACUGGGCGUAAAGCGCGCGUAGGCGGUUUCUUAAGUCUGGGGUGAAAGGUUCAGCGCUCAACGUGAACAGUGCCGUUGGAGACUGGGAGACUUGAGUGUGGCAGAGGAGCAUGGAAUUCCUGGUGUAGCGGUGAAAUGCGUAGAGAUCAGGAGGAACUCCGGUGGCGAAGGCGGCUCGCUGGACCUUUCUGACGCUGAGGCGCGAAAGCUAGGG
rnacentral:rRNA from 1 species